rnacentral:rRNA from 1 species
ACGCACGCUGGCGGCGUGCUUCACCCAUGCCAGUCGCACGGAAAGGCCCUGCUUGCAGGGUGCUCGAGUGGCGAACGGGUGAGUAACACGUGGGUGAUCUGCCCCUUACUUUGGGAUAAGCCUGGGAAACUGGGUCUAAUACUGGAUAGGGCCAUGCUGUAGGUGGUGUGGUGGAAAGAUUAGUUUCGGUAAGGGAUGAGCUCGCGGCCUAUCAGCUUGUUGGUGGGGUAAUGGCCUACCAAGGCGUCGACGGGUAGCCGGCCUGAGAGGGUGGACGGCCACAUUGGGACUGAGAUACGGCCCAGACUCCUACGGGAGGCAGCAGUGGGGAAUAUUGCACAAUGGGCGCAAGCCUGAUGCAGCGACGCCGCGUGGGGGAUGACGGCCUUCGGGUUGUAAACUCCUUUCAGCCAUGACGAAGCCCUUGUGGUGACGGUAGUGGUAGAAGAAGCACCGGCUAACUACGUG